rnacentral:rRNA from 1 species
UACGAAGGGGGCUAGCGUUGCUCGGAAUCACUGGGCGUAAAGGGUGCGUAGGCGGGUCUUUAAGUCAGGGGUGAAAUCCUAGAGCUCAACUCCAGAACUGCCUUUGAUACUGAGGAUCUUGAGUUCGGGAGAGGUGAGUGGAACUGCGAGUGUAGAGGUGAAAUUCGUAGAUAUUCGCAAGAACACCAGUGGCGAAGGCGGCUCACUGGCCCGAUACUGACGCUGAGGCACGAAAGCGUGGGGAGCAAACAGGG